rnacentral:lncRNA from 1 species
AAUAAUUACUUAAGAACAAGCGAAAAUGAAGUUCUUCCUAAAACUGAAGAUACUUUGAAACAUAGUGACUACAGCUGUUUGGUAGUAAGUUGUACUCUGGGGAGGCGCAUACAAGCGAGGAUGGCCAGAAGAUGACAGGGAUGACGGGUUACGUUUCAUUAAAAAAUAUAUUGCUGUUAAUCACCACUCUCCACUCUCUUCUUCUCAAAGUCACGGAGGAAAGAAACUCUUUUUUCAUUUUAGCUCACAUCUGAAAUGGGAGCACAUGGCUACCCAAUGAGUGUUGGCAGAAUGCUGGGAAGGCAGAGGAGAGGCAAGAUCUCCAUUAGCCUCAUGUUGUUAAUUGCCAUCCCUGCAAACACACCUCCUACAGAGCAGAGGACACACUGGAAUCCCUUCCAGGGAGCUGAAGAAUCAUUCCAUGGGGAAAGAAGAACAACAAAGUAGAAGCAUCUUUUGUCUGCAACAGGGGCUUCUGGUGUCUUUAAAUCUUGGUUCAUAAGUAAAUGACUAAGAUCUAACGGCCUUGGAGUUAGGUACUGGUGAUACCACUUCACAGUCAUAGUACUCACUGUGGGUGUAGCAAAAAAAAAAAAAAAAAAUCAGCCACAGCAUCCUCUCAUUAUGGGCUCUGAAAGAUUGUUCAGGGCAGCAGGAAGAAGCAAGGUGUGGAACUUAGAGCUGUGUCUCUACAGACCCCAGUUUUCCCAAUCAUCCUAGACAGCCAUGGCAAAUGCCUUUAGGGGGCAGGAACAUCACUUUCCUUCCAUCUUCUUUAUUCUAUAAAAGACAAAAUACAAACAAACAUAAAUAAUUAACUCGAAGGAGGUUGGAGGUCCAGAAGAAAUAUGAAGUCAGGGAGUUGCAGGGUGUUAGGGUGGCUUAGGUGGAGUCACUGAGGGAAUGACGCUAGCCUCCCAAUUUUCUCACAGCCCCUCACCUUCCUACCUGUACAAGGCUAAUGCUUUCUGAAGGCUCUUCCAUUGUAUAGCGUCUAAAGAGAAUUUCUCUGAAGAGUUAAAAAGUAAUAUACUGUGUAAUAAAUUUGAGGAGCACCAGAAAGACAUGAUUUCAAGAGUCCAGAAUUUGUACAUGCACACUGAUAUUGAACCUUCAUAAAAUGAAGGUUACCUCCUUAAUUUGAGGUUUUGAUUUCUGAAUAACAGAUGCAACAUUCGACAGGAGGAGGAAGCAGAUUAGCUUGUUACCUUUUUUUUUUUAUUUAUGUGAAAUGUUUUCUGAAUAUUUAAGAGGAAAGCAAAUAUGGUGGUAGGAGGGGCUUAUGGGACGUGAACGUACCAGAUUAGCAGGAAAUGGCACAGAAGGGGCAUAGUUACAAAGUGGUUUAGGUAAUGUAUACUGAUCUCAUGUUGGCCUGAUGCCACUGUAAAGCAGUCUGAAGGACUACCUUGUCCUUGAGCCCCACCACAGAUCAGCUCUCAUGACAGUCUUCUUUCCAGGAUGGCUGUGAUAUGAUAAACAUGGACUGUGUGUUCCAAAUUUGAGUUAUCACACUUACCAACCCUGGGACUUGAGAAAGGUCUUCAAUAUCUUGUAUGUAGCUCAGUUUUCUCACUUAACAACAACAACAACAAAAUGGUACCAUCUUCUAGGGCUCUUAUAAAUGGAACACCCUCAGAUUGGCACGAAUUAAAAGAAUGGUUACCGCUUGUCAUUAUCAUCUCCAUUUGAGGACUGGUACCUGCCUUGUGUCUGGUGAUGUCUAUGAUAACACUACAGAGGAGUAAUGACUCCAGUGCAUAGAACAAUAGCCACAGCCCUUAUUUUGGCCUUGCACAGUUGAGCUUCAUUUGAUCAUUAUCCAAUGCCUUUCUUCUGCACUUUGGAUACAGUGUAUGCAGAAUUAAAAGCUGUUCUUUCUUGACUUUAGUGGGUAUGGGCCUGGAGCACUAAUUCUGGGAUUCUCUUUUACCUGUGUCCUUUCCCAUGAUCUUGUUCCUCCUGUCAGGACAAAGCCCUUGUUUACCCCACAAUGUUCUUGUACCCCAUACCUUACUGAAAUCUAUAUUGGAGGUGUGAAAGGAACAUGUAGACGAUCCAAUAGGUUUUAGUAUAACUACCAAGACCCACCAGUCCUAAGCUUCUGCAUUUGUUUUUGUAUCUAUGUCAUAUUGUAAGGUGAGAAUUUAAUAACAAAAGGUUGGAAAAUGAAC